rnacentral:rRNA from 1 species
GACGAACGCUGGCGGCGUGCUUAACACAUGCAAGUCGAACGGAAAGGCCCUGCUUUUGUGGGGUGCUCGAGUGGCGAACGGGUGAGUAACACGUGAGUAACCUGCCCUUGACUUUGGGAUAACUUCAGGAAACUGGGGCUAAUACCGGAUAGGAGCUCCUGCUGCAUGGUGGGGGUUGGAAAGUUUCGGCGGUUGGGGAUGGACUCGCGGCUUAUCAGCUUGUUGGUGGGGUAGUGGCUUACCAAGGCUUUGACGGGUAGCCGGCCUGAGAGGGUGACCGGCCACAUUGGGACUGAGAUACGGCCCAGACUCCUACGGGAGGCAGCAGUGGGGAAUAUUGCACAAUGGGCGGAAGCCUGAUGCAGCAACGCCGCGUGCGGGAUGACGGCCUUCGGGUUGUAACGCGCUUUCGCCUGUGACGAAGCGUGAGUGACGGUAAUGGGUAAAGAAGCACCGGCUAACUACGUGCCAGCAGCCGCGGUGAUACGUAGGGUGCGAGCGUUGUCCGGAUUUAUUGGGCGUAAAGGGCUCGUAGGUGGUUGAUCGCGUCGGAAGUGUAAUCUUGGGGCUUAACCCUGAGCGUGCUUUCGAUACGGGUUGACUUGAGGAAGGUAGGGGAGAAUGGAAUUCCUGGUGGAGCGGUGGAAUGCGCAGAUAUCAGGAGGAACACCAGUGGCGAAGGCGGUUCUCUGGGCCUUUCCUGACGCUGAGGAGCGAAAGCGUGGGGAGCGAACAGGCUUAGAUACCCUGGUAGUCCACGCUGUAAACGGUGGGUACUAGGUGUGGGGUCCAUUCCACGGGUUCCGUGCCGUAGCUAACGCUUUAAGUACCCCGCCUGGGGAGUACGGCCGCAAGGCUAAAACUCAAAGGAAUUGACGGGGCCCCGCACAAGCGGCGGAGCAUGCGGAUUAAUUCGAUGCAACGCGUAGAACCUUACCUGGGUUUGACAUGGAUCGGGAGUGCUCAGAGAUGGGUGUGCCUCUUUUGGGGUCGGUUCACAGGUGGUGCAUGGCUGUCGUCAGCUCGUGUCGUGAGAUGUUGGGUUAAGUCCCGCAACGAGCGCAACCCUUGUUCACUGUUGCCAGCACGUUAUGGUGGGGACUCAGUGGAGACCGCCGGGGUCAACUCGGAGGAAGGUGGGGAUGACGUCAAGUCAUCAUGCCCCUUAUGUCCAGGGCUUCACGCAUGCUACAAUGGCUGGUACAGAGAGUGGCGAGCCUGUGAGGGUGAGCGAAUCUCGGAAAGCCGGUCUCAGUUCGGAUUGGGGUCUGCAACUCGACCUCAUGAAGUCGGAGUCGCUAGUAAUCGCAGAUCAGCAACGCUGCGGUGAAUACGUUCCCGGGGCU